CCUAUGCUGCCGAGAAAAGCCUCUAGUGAGUGUUGUGGCGGCCCGUACCCUAAACCGACUCAGGUGGUCAGGUAGAGAAUACCAAGGCGAUCGGGUGAACUGUGGUUAAGGAACUCGGCAAAUUGCCCCCGUAACUUCGGGAGAAGGGGGACCUCUGCUGGUGAUGGGCUUUACGUUCUGAGCUGGUGGGGGUCGCAGUGGCCAGGGGGAAGCGACUGUUUACUAAAAACACAGGUCCGUGCGAAGUCGUAAGACGAUGUAUACGGACUGACGCCUGCCCGGUGCCGGAACGUUAAGGGGACCGCUUAGCCAGCUUCGGUUGGCGAAGGUGAGAACUUAAGCGCCGGUAAACGGCGGUGGUAACUAUAACCAUCCUAAGGUAGCGAAAUUCCUUGUCGGGUAAGUUCCGACCUGCACGAAUGGCGUAACGACUUCCCCGCUGUCUCAACCACAGACCCGGCGAAAUUGCACUACGAGUAAAGAUGCUCGUUUCGCGCAGCAGGACGGAAAGACCCCGGGACCUUCACUACAGCUUGACAUUGGCGUUUGGAACGUCUUGUGUAGGAUAGGUGGGAGACUAGGAAGCUGUCACGCUAGUGAUGGUGGAGUCAUUGGUGAAAUACCACUCUGGUCGUUUUGAACGUCUAACUCUGGUCCGUGAUCCGGAUCGGGGACAGUGUCUGGUGGGUAGUUUAACUGGGGCGGUUGCCUCCUAAAGAGUAACGGAGGCGCCCAAAGGUUCCCUCAGCCUGGUUGGCAAUCAGGUGUUGAGUGUAAGUGCACAAGGGAGCUUGACUGUGAGACUGACAGGUCGAGCAGGAGCGAAAGCUGGGACUAGUGAUCCGGCAUCGGCGUGUGGAAGCGGUGUCGCUCAACGGCUAAAAGGUACCCCGGGGAUAACAGGCUGAUCUUCCCCAAGAGUCCAUAUCGACGGGAUGGUUUGGCACCUCGAUGUCGGCUCGUCGCAUCCUGGGGCUGGAGUAAGUCCCAAGGGUUGGGCUGUUCGCCCAUUAAAGCGGUACGCGAGCUGGGUUUAGAACGUCGCGAGACAGUUCGGUCCCUAUCCGCUGCGCGCGCAGGAGACUUGAAGGGGGCUGUCCCUAGUACGAGAGGACCGGGACGGACGAACCUCUGGUGUGCCAGUUGUACCGCCAGGUGCACGGCUGGUUGGCUACGUUCGGAAGGGAUAACCGCUGAAAGCAUCUAAGCGGGAAGCUCGCCUUGAGAUGAGGUCUCCCACCCCGUGAGGGGGUAAGGCUCCCGGUAGAUCACCGGGUUGAUAGGCCGGAGGUGGAAGCACGGUAACGUGUGGAGCUGACCGGUACUAAUAGGCCGAGGACUUGACCG
rnacentral:rRNA from 1 species